AUGCAAGAAUUAUUGCAAGGUAAACGAUAUUCGCUGGUUUUAGAUGAUGCAUGGAAAAGAAAUCAAGAAUUGGAAUUCAGAUUAAGUCAGGACAAUUGGAAUAAGUUGAAAUCCGUGUUGUCAUGUGGGUCCAAAGGUCUAUUAGUUUCCAUUCGGGGCAAGGAUGUUGUAGAAAUUGCGAGAACAUGCCAAGCUCAUUAUCUAUCGGGUCUAACUGAAGAUGAAUGUUGGUUGUUGUUCAAACAAUAUGCAUUUGGAAAAUGA